rnacentral:rRNA from 1 species
AUGUUCUCGUCGUAGUCACUCAGCCGUGUCAACAACAUCCGCACAGCGCGGAUCAACGCACGGAAGGGAAAUCAAUUGGUGGCAUCCUUCUUCGCCGCCAUGAGGGGUCUCGCCGAUGAACUCGUCGCGGCCGGAAAACCCAUCCAGGACGACGAGCUCAUGUCCUACAUCAUCCACGGGCUGGAGCAAGAUUACCAGCCCCUCGUCUCCGCUCUGGACGCCCGCGUCACCCCAGUAACUCUUGAUGAGCUUUUUGCCAUGCUUAGUAACUUUGAUCAGCGCAUGGCGCAGUACCAUGGCUCCGGUGGU